rnacentral:rRNA from 1 species
UGUGUGUUAGUGGAAGCGUCUGGAAAGGCGCGCGAUACAGGGUGACAGCCCCGUACACAAAAAUGCACAUAUUGUGAGCUCGAUGAGUAGGGCGGGACACGUGGUAUCCUGUCUGAAUAUGGGGGGCCCAUCCUCCAAGGCUAAAUACUCCUGACUGACCGAUAGUGAACCAGUACCGUGAGGGAAAGGCGAAAAGAACCCCGGCGAGGGGAGUGAAAAAGAACCUGAAACCGUGUACGUACAAGCAGUGGGAGCACGCUUAGGCGUGUGACUGCGUACCUUUUGUAUAAUGGGUCAGCGACUUAUAUUCUGUAGCAAGGUUAACCGAAUAGGGGAGCCGAAGGGAAACCGAGUCUUAACUGGGCGUUAAGUUGCAGGGUAUAGACCCGAAACCCGGUGAUCUAGCCAUGGGCAGGUUGAAGGUUGGGUAACACUAACUGGAGGACCGAACCGACUAAUGUUGAAAAAUUAGCGGAUGACUUGUGGCUGGGGGUGAAAGGCCAAUCAAACCGGGAGAUAGCUGGUUCUCCCCGAAAGCUAUUUAGGUAGCGCCUCGUGAAUUCAUCUCCGGGGGUAGAGCACUGUUUCGGCAAGGGGGUCAUCCCGACUUACCAACCCGAUGCAAACUGCGAAUACCGGAGAAUGUUAUCACGGGAGACACACGGCGGGUGCUAACGUCCGUCGUGAAGAGGGAAACAACCCAGACCGCCAGCUAAGGUCCCAAAGUCAUGGUUAAGUGGGAAACGAUGUGGGAAGGCCCAGACAGCCAGGAUGUUGGCUUAGAAGCAGCCAUCAUUUAAAGAAAGCGUAAUAGCUCACUGGUCGAGUCGGCCUGCGCGGAAGAUGUAACGGGGCUAAACCAUGCACCGAAGCUGCGGCAGCGACGCUUAUGCGUUGUUGGGUAGGGGAGCGUUCUGUAAGCCUGCGAAGGUGUGCUGUGAGGCAUGCUGGAGGUAUCAGAAGUGCGAAUGCUGACAUAAGUAACGAUAAAGCGGGUGAAAAGCCCGCUCGCCGGAAGACCAAGGGUUCCUGUCCAACGUUAAUCGGGGCAGGGUGAGUCGACCCCUAAGGCGAGGCCGAAAGGCGUAGUCGAUGGGAAACAGGUUAAUAUUCCUGUACUUGGUGUUACUGCGAAGGGGGGACGGAGAAGGCUAUGUUGGCCGGGCGACGGUUGUCCCGGUUUAAGCGUGUAGGCUGGUUUUCCAGGCAAAUCCGGAAAAUCAAGGCUGAGGCGUGAUGACGAGGCACUACGGUGCUGAAGCAACAAAUGCCCUGCUUCCAGGAAAAGCCUCUAAGCAUCAGGUAACAUCAAAUCGUACCCCAAACCGACACAGGUGGUCAGGUAGAGAAUACCAAGGCGCUUGAGAGAACUCGGGUGAAGGAACUAGGCAAAAUGGUGCCGUAACUUCGGGAGAAGGCACGCUGAUAUGUAGGUGAAGUCCCUUGCGGAUGGAGCUGAAAUCAGUCGAAGAUACCAGCUGGCUGCAACUGUUUAUUAAAAACACAGCACUGUGCAAACACGAAAGUGGACGUAUACGGUGUGACGCCUGCCCGGUGCCGGAAGGUUAAUUGAUGGGGUCAGCGCAAGCGAAGCUCUUGAUCGAAGCCCCGGUAAACGGCGGCCGUAACUAUAACGGUCCUAAGGUAGCGAAAUUCCUUGUCGGGUAAGUUCCGACCUGCACGAAUGGCGUAAUGAUGGCCAGGCUGUCUCCACCCGAGACUCAGUGAAAUUGAACUCGCUGUGAAGAUGCAGUGUACCCGCGGCAAGACGGAAAGACCCCGUGAACCUUUACUAUAGCUUGACACUGAACAUUGAGCCUUGAUGUGUAGGAUAGGUGGGAGGCUUUGAAGUGUGGACGCCAGUCUGCAUGGAGCCG